rnacentral:snRNA from 1 species
AUAGUUACCUGGCAGGGGAAAUUCCAUGAUCAGGAAGGUGGUUUUCCCAGGGCGAGGCUUAUCCAUUGCACUCUGGAUGUGCUGACCCCCUGUGGUUUUCCCAAAUGCAGGAAACUCAGACUGUAUAAUUUGUGGUAGUGGAGGACUGUGUUCUUGCUCUUCUGUU